rnacentral:misc_RNA from 1 species
CCCUAGCCCAGAUUGCAAUGUAAAGCCCGGAAUAAAAAAAGCUAACUUUUCUUGCCAGAAAACAGCGACCGAAGGAAGCUCGUUUUAUGGCUUAGAAAAAUAGCUUGUUUUAUGAGGACUUGAAACGGAAAGCUGGAAUAGCU